GUUAUACAUAAAAUUAUAAAUUGUUAUUAGAACUAUUGAAAGUCAUUAAUCCUGAAGAAGAAAUUGUUAUUAACUUAUUAAGUGUUUUAUGCGUAACCGAAAUAAGAAAUAUUGUGCUGCCAUGUGUAUAAUAUUAUAUGUGGAUAACGGCGCUGAUAAACUUUUAUUGUGCAAUUGUUUGUUGUCCUAAAUAAAAUAAAAUAAAAUCUUAAAAA